ensembl:lncRNA
UUUAGCCCUUCUCCCUGCAAUUAAGUGGUUCUUUGCCUAAUGGUUAUGAAGUGUUGUCAGUGGAAAGUCCAAAUUCUCCAGGGCCAUAACCUGUGAAACUCUAUCCCAGUCUAGAACCAUGGUGCUGGACAACGGAGCAAAUACUGAUUAGCUAUGGGUGACUGAAAUUCUGGCUCCAUCCCAAGUGUGUAAGAGGCAGCUGGGAGAAUGGGCUGCCUGCGCCUUGGGGUGGAUGAGAACUGACAUCACCACGCAGCCCCUGGGAAGAGAGUGAGAAGCACCCUGCCUUUACCCAGAAGACCUGUACAAAGUAACCAUUGCAAAUGUUCAGCUUCAGCAUCCAUCUGGAGGUGUGAGAAUUACCACGUUGUGGCUUUGCAGGGCCUUUGGCAGGAGUAGAUGCUGAGAGCAGAAGAUUGAAAUGGAGAAACUCCAGCUUAA